CUGCCAGUGCAGUACUGCAUCCGUCGUGAUCCGAAUAAAGCUUAUAUUGUCCACAUUGAUUAAACUAUCAUUAUUAAAAUCAUUUUGAUUCUUCUAUAUUUGUACGUACUUUUUUACAACUCUGAACCCGGAAGCGAGGUAUUCUGGGAAGGUUAUUUUAAAGAUGGCGGGCGUUUUGGAAUUUAUUCGUGGAGUGCAUGAGAAAUGUUCAAUAUACAGCUACUUGGAUUACACAAACAGAGAAAGAUAGAUUAUACCAGUUAAAUUGAGAGGUUUUAUUUGAAAAUCCUAUAUUUGAGCACCAUUCAUGGCAGUCAUGUCGAGGAAGUUAUAAAAAGGUUGAUAAGGGCUUUGUAUAUGGAAGCUAGAUGACAUUACUACUUAUCAUACAUCAUACACAACUAUUUGUCACAUACCGACUUGGGAUUGAAACCAAGCGACUGAACUCAAUAACACUCCUCAAUAACACUCGUCUAUGAAACCACCCAGAUGGCAAAGAAAUAAAGACUUUUUAAUUAUGUACCGAACUCAUAUAUGUAUCUAUGGUAGCACAAAAUUCACCAGAAUGUAGGCCAAAGCUUUACUUUACAAGCAGUAGGCUUAAAAUAUUUUCCGUCUGAUCUUGUAAGAGUCAAUUGUUUAUGAAUAGUUUGCCUCAAGCAGAUAUCCUGUCACUGUGUCACAGUAUCAUAUAACCGCUCUUUGGCUUGAACUGAGUUGUAUCAGUGAGUUGAAAAUCUACUGCAGCCAGUAUAUUAGAUUCAAAAUUCUAACGAGCUUUCGUCUAACUUCUAACUUCUGUUCAUGUAUUUUUUAACUUCUAUUCAUGUAAUUUCUAACUUCUAUUCAUGUAUUUUGUUAAAUUAAGACAAUGUAUAAUCCAACUUCUUUAUUUGUUCAGUGUAAAUUUUAAUUCUAUUCCAUCUUAUUUCUAUUAUUUAGACGAAAAACGUCUUCUUAAUUUUUACACUUCUGCCUAGCAACCAUCAUUAUGAAGUCAUUUGGUGUCGCCACUGCGUGCUCAUUUUUGGUGAUUGCGCACCUGGUCGGGACCAUUGUGUUGAUAUAAACGACACAUUCUUGAUAAAGACGAGAGUGUCCUCGUCGAAACGUUGCUUUAUAUUAAACUCAGUAAGAGUUAUCUAUAAAAUUGUACCCUGUGUUAAUGUAGACCAACAGUAUAUAAAUAUUAAUUGGCUCAACUUGUCUUAAAAAAAAUGAACAAAUGCUGUUUAGCUUGUAUUUGAAAUAGAAAAUGAAAUAUAAUGGGGUUAACAUCCUACUAUUCUACUCCGAACUUGGCUAAUACGCCAUACAGUGUGCUACGAAGGAAACUUUGCCCGGACAGCGGCACUACGGAACGAUUAGACAGCUGUACUUG